GAUGAACGCUGGCGGCGUGCCUAAUACAUGCAAGUCGAGCGAACGGACGAGAAGCUUGCUUCUCUGAUGUUAGCGGCGGACGGGUGAGUAACACGUGGAUAACCUACCUAUAAGACUGGGAUAACUUCGGGAAACCGGAGCUAAUACCGGAUAAUAUUUUGAACCGCAUGGUUCAAAAGUGAAAGACGGUCUUGCUGUCACUUAUAGAUGGAUCCGCGCUGCAUUAGCUAGUUGGUAAGGUAACGGCUUACCAAGGCAACGAUGCAUAGCCGACCUGAGAGGGUGAUCGACCACACUGGAACUGAGACACGGUCGACACACCUACGGGGAGCAGCAGUAGGGAAUCUUACGCGAUGGGCGAGAGCCUGACGGAGCAACGCCGCGUGAGUGAUGAAGGUCUUCGGAUCGUAAAACUCUGUUAUUAGGGAAGAACAUAUGUGUAAGUAACUGUGCACAUCUUGACGGUACCUAAUCAGAAAGCCACGGCUAACUACGUG
rnacentral:rRNA from 1 species